GAAAAGAAACCAACAGGGAUUGCCCCAGUAACGGCGAGUGAAGCGGCAACAGCUCAAAUUUGAAAUCUGGCCCCCCGGCCCGAGUUGUAAUUUGGAGAGGAUGCUUUUGGCACGGCGCCGUCCGAGUUCCUUGGAACAGGACGCCACAGAGGGUGAGAGCCCCGUACGGACGGACGCCUAGCCUCUACAAAGCUCCUUCGACGAGUCGAGUAGUUUGGGAAUGCUGCUCAAAAUGGGAGGUAAAUUUCUUCUAAAGCUAAAUACCGGCCAGAGACCGAUAGCGCACAAGUAGAGUGAUCGAAAGAUGAAAAGCACUUUGAAAAGAGGGUUAAAAAGUACGUGAAAUUGUUGAAAGGGAAGCGCCUGUGACCAGACUUGCGCCCCGUGGACCACCCGGCGUUCUCGCCGGUGCACUCCGCGGGGCGCAGGCCAGCAUCGGUUCUCCUAGGGGGAUAAAGGCCGCGGGAACGUAGCUCCUUCGGGAGUGUUAUAGCCCGUGGUGGCAUGCCCCUGGGGGGACCGAGGACCGCGCUUCGGCAAGGAUGCUGGCGUAAUGG
rnacentral:rRNA from 1 species